GGAGUAACACGUGGGCAACCUGCCCUGAANCGGGGGAUAACAUCUGGAAACAGGUGCUAAUACCGCAUAACAACGAAAACCACAUGGUUUCGUUUCAAAGAUGGUUUUGGCUAUCACUUCAGGAUGGGCCCGCGGUGCAUUAGCUAGUUGGUAAGGUAACGGCUUACCAAGGCGAUGAUGCAUAGCCGAGUUGAGAGACUGAUCGGCCACAAUGGAACUGAGACACGGUCCAUACUCCUACGGGAGGCAGCAGU
rnacentral:rRNA from 1 species